rnacentral:sRNA from 1 species
GCACAAGUACUAAAAUUGAAACAAUAUAGGAAAGAUCAGCAAGACCUCUGGGCAAAGGUGACAUGUAAAUUCACAAGGAAUAUAGACAAGGAUGUAUUGGGUUUUU